AUUAGGAUAUUUUAAAUUAAAAUUUAAGCUUGUGGAGCUUAGGAUAACCUAUUAAUGGGUUUUCUAAUA
rnacentral:tRNA from 1 species